GUGAAUCAUCAAAUCUUUGAACGCAAAUUGCGCUUCCUGGCAUCCCGGGAAGUAUGCCUGUUUGAGGGUCAGUAUUAAUAAAAAAACGGUUUAGUUACAAGUUGAGACGUUUCCGGAGUGUGGGCUAUCUUAACAUUUUUGGUUAAGAGGCUUAAAUUUUACCUUUAUUGCGCAUUUUUAAGCGUACAUAAAUUUUUUUUAUUGGUCUUUUCUUAAUCCCAAAAUCAUAUUAGAUGCGAUCAUAUUGUGU
rnacentral:misc_RNA from 1 species